UGGGGAAUAUUGGACAAUGGACCAAAAGUCUGAUCCAGCAAUUCUGUGUGCACGAUGACGGUCUUAGGAUUGUAAAGUGCUUUCAAUCGGGAAAAAGAAAGUGAUGGUACCGAUAGAAGAAGCGACGGCUAAAUACGUGCCAGCAGCCGCGGUAAUACGUAUGUCGCAAGCGUUAUCCGGAUUUAUUGGGCGUAAAGCGCGUCUAGGCGGUCUGGUAAGUCUGAUGUGGAAAUGCGGGGCUCAACUCCGUAUUGCGUUGGAAACUGCCAGACUAGAGUACUGGAGAGGUGGGCGGAACUACAAGUGUAGAGGUGAAAUUCGUAGAUAUUUGUAGGAAUGCCGAUAGAGAAGUCAGCUCACUGGACAGAUACUGACGCUGAAGCGCGAAAGCAUGGGGAGCAAACAGG
rnacentral:rRNA from 1 species